UUACGGCCAUAUCAUGUUGAAACAACAGUUCUCAUACGAUCACUGAAGUUAAGCAACAUAGAACCUGGUCAGUACCUAGAUGGGUGACCGCU